ensembl:snRNA U6 U6 spliceosomal RNA
UUGCUUCAGCAGCAAAUAUACUAAAAUUGGAACGAUACAGAGAAGAUUAGCAUGGCCCCUACGCAAGGAUGACACACAAAUUCGUGAAGUGUUCCAUAUUUAA